UCUGCCUUCUUUCUAUCCGAAUUUCCUUUGGUUAAGGUCGUCGGCGCGCAUUAAAUCGUUAAAUUAAAAUAAAAUGAAACCAAUUAAUCUAAUAUUUAACAUAUGCAAUGCUCAGUAUAGGAGCUUGUAUCUUGUAAAAAUCUAUACUAUGAUCAACAUAAUAAAAUGAUACACAUACAGGACCAACAUGGCAAUUUGAAUAGAACAAGAUUUCCACGUGGUGCAAUGUGAGACACCUGAAGACACUUAGAAAUAUUCUAAGGCAUUGAAAGCAGAUUGGGAUUAUACUAGUCAUUGUAUUAUUUUCCCCAAAAGGCAUUUUCAAUGCAAAGGAAUACCUAUUUGAAACUGAAAUUUGACUGAACCAGUUAAAAGCGAAUCUAAAUUGAUGAUAUUUUCACAAGAUCUAAAAGUGAUUCGUUGGGAACAAACAAAAACGUGUUCUACCAGGG
rnacentral:sRNA from 1 species